UUGUUGCCAGCAGACGCAACUUUCACUAUUCCUAUAUGAACGGUGGCAUUUGACAUUUCUAAAAGAUCUAAUAAGUAUAUAUGCGCUAAAUGAUAAAUUAGCGUUAAAGCAGGACACAGCGGAAAACAUUAACCGUGCUCCAGUAAUCCUGCCUUUAGUCCCAGCCGCUCAUCCCUGGCUCUGGCUCCUGCUCCUUCCCUGCUGGCUCUGGCCAGCCUCCUACUCUGAUGUCAUCGCUCAUUGUUGGAUCCAGGGAAACAUCCUCGCUCUUCACGCAUAUUCGGGUCUCCGAGGUGUGUGCAUAGUCUCUGCACCAGGAGGAGACAGCUUGUGUCCGCUCAGCAUCCCACUUACUGUAGGUCUAUGAAGUAAGUCAGAAGGAAUAAAGUCAAGAACCGCUCGUUUGUGGCGUUCCACUGCCCGGGGGUCAGUCUGCGAGGUUCUUGCACUUCCUCAUUUGUUUGCUACAGCUGCCCCCUAAAAAAAAAAAAAAAGUUUGUAAAGCUGUGGGAAAGUGCGCCCGAAAUGAACAGCAAUAAACCUGAUAACGAAAAUGGUCAAAAUAAAGCUAACAUGUUGGAUGAAGAGGUGAAAACACUGUUUGUUAGUGGUCUUCCUUUGGACAUCAAGCCUAGAGAACUCUACCUGUUGUUUAGACCAUUUAAGGGUUAUGAAGGAUCUCUUAUAAAGCUAACAUCAAAGCAGCCUGUAGGAUUUGUCAGUUUUGACAGUCGAUCAGAAGCUGAAGCUGCAAAGAAUGCACUAAAUGGAAUCCGAUUUGACCCUGAAAUUCCACAAACAUUACGGCUGGAAUUUGCCAAAGCAAACACAAAGAUGGCUAAGAACAAACUAGUAGGGACUCCAAACCCAAGCACACCUCAGUCCAACACAAUACCUCAGUUUAUAAUUCGGGAACCAUAUGCGCUGGAUUGCGCCUUCAGAUUCCACUCCACAGGGAUGGAAAACUCGUCAAUUCUGCUGAACGCUGUGUACCUUCCUGGUGUGUGACGGUGACUGUGCCUUGUCUUGUUGGUAUUGGUACAUUCUUCUUCGGUUGUGUUUGCUUCAUUUUUACUUUGCUUCAGUUUAAAGCAGUACAGUAUUGUGUGGGUUUCGGAACUGUAUAUAUAAUUCCCAAACCCUUCAAGACUUUGCUACAGCCUCUGUCACACAUCUAUUUAUCUAGGAAAAUGUUUUAAACUUUUUUAUACUGUAUUAUUAUCGUAAAUAAAGACAAUCAAUAUUAAAGCACGAUCUGCCAAACAAUGUUGUAAAAUCUGAGAGAUAUUUUAAGAAGAAAAAGAGCGAGUAUUUUUAUACCAUGCGAUGCGAGUACUCCUAAUCUUACACUGUGUUGGAUCACAAGUUGUGCUUAACUUUUUUAAAAAAAGUAAGUGAUGAUUUGUGUUUGCCCUGGAAGCUCUGCAUUUAAAGCAUGUUUUCACCUUUUCCCCAGGACUUUAAAAGAGUGCCAUGACCAUUCUCAGGUGAAAUCAGCUUUGUUGCAGUGCUUACUGAAAAACAGGUUUACAAUUUUAUGUUCCAGGGUACUCUUUUAUGGAGAACUGUCUGCAACAACAUUAACACUGACAUCUACUUGCAAAAUGUGAUUGCCCAUUACUGUGUUCAUUUUGACUGUAAAUGAGAAAUGCUCAUGGUAGAAUGCCAUAUUAAAAGUGUCUAGCUACAUUUCCAUUAUGGUCAUAAAAUGAUUGCUGUUCCUCUGUUGGUUUGCCUGUAAGAUUAUAUUUAUAACUCUUGUUCAUAGUCAUAAAUGAUUUCUUAUAUCUGUCCCUACCAAGAGACCUUUUGUAUUGUCAGUUUGAAUAAAACGAGGUACUGCUUGUGACAACAGAA